rnacentral:rRNA from 1 species
UUCCAGACUCCUACGGGAGGCAGCAGUGAGGAAUAUUGGUCAAUGGGCUUACGCCUGAACCAGCCAAGUCGCGUGAGGGAAGACUGCCCUAUGGGUUGUAAACCUCUUUUGUCAGGGAGCAAUUGGCGCUACGUGUAGCGUUAUCGAGAGUGCCUGAAGAAAAAGCAUCGGCUAACUCCGUGCCAGCAGCCGCGGUAAUACGGAGGAUGCGAGCGUUAAUCGGAAUUACUGGGCGUAAAGCGCUCGUAGGCGGUAUGUCAAGUCAAGGGUGAAAUCCCCGCGCUCAACGUGGGAACUGCCUUUGAAACUGGCAAACUGGAGUGUGUGAGAGGAUAGUGGAAUUCCAGGUGUAGGAGUGAAAUCCGUAGAUAUCGGGAGGAACAUCAGUGGCGAAGGCGACUAUCUGGCACAUAACUGACGCUGAGGAGCGAAAGCGUGGGUAGCAAACAGGAUUAGAUACCCCUGUA